rnacentral:lncRNA from 1 species
GGAUUUCACUGUGCUGAACACGGACACUCAUUUAAAAGUUUCCAGGUGCAUAAAAACCAAGAAAAACUAAAGUGAACAACAUGUAUGAACUUUUGACACUAUAAAGCUCACAAAGGAUAAAGGCAGGAAACAAGAAGCAAAUCAGAGCAAGAGAAAUAUUCCUAGUGGAAAGAAAAUGUACUAAGAAAGAAAAGCCAGCUGACCACCCAACAUUAGAGAAGUUGUGAAAGUCACCAAGGCCCAGGAAAUCAGACUGCUCUCAGGACAGCCAUCUCACAACUCAUUGGAUUCCAUUUUGGCUGACUGCAUUUAAGUCCCUUAAACAUUCCUAUAUCAAAGAGCGACAACAGGUAAACUGUAGUAUAAUCUCAAG